CCCGCUGAACUUAAGCAUAUCAGUAAGCGGAGGAAAAGAAACUAACAAGGAUUGCCCCAGUAGCGGCGAGUGAACAGGCAGAAGCUCAAAUUGAAAAUCCACGGCAUUAAGUCAUGGAAUUGUAAUCUAUAGAGGUUCUCGGAAGGAACGAAUUUCGCAUAAGUUCCUUGGAAAAGGACGUCAAAGAGGGUGAAAACCCCGUAGAUGGUGAAGUUCGACCGUACGAGAGCUUUCGAAGAGUCGGGUUGUUUGGUAUUGCAGCCCUAAAUGGGAGAUAAACUUCUUCUAAAGCUAAAUAUUUAUGGGAAACCGAUAGCGAACAAGUACUGCGAAGGAAAGGUGAAAAGAACUUUGAAAAGAGGGUUAAAAGACUUGAAACCGUUGAAAAGGAAGCGGUAGAAGAACAAUUAGAUCAGUCGUGAUAUACUCAUGUGAAAAGUGGCCUAUGAUGUGUAAGGUACUUAAUAAGGCCUGCAUAUUAUUGUGUAACAUAUUCUAUGAAGUUUUUCGCGAAUUGAUAGGCAAAGUGAGGUUUUCCUAGUGGAGUCAGUAGUUGAGGAGACCCUUUACCGGAACUCAGCUACAAAACAUUGGGAGAGCCUGAGGGGCUUACGAGCGAUUUUGCCAAAAUGGCUUUUACUGACCCGUCUUGAAACACGG
rnacentral:rRNA from 1 species